ensembl:ncRNA lncRNA:CR45820 long non-coding RNA:CR45820
UAUCGCGCUUCGUCUUCGGCUGCUGAAUCUUUUAUAUACAUUUUUCUCGGUUUUUUCCCCAUUUUUUUUUUUCUGCCAUUGAGUAGGUCUGAAAAUAGCAGCGAUAGUGAGCUCAAGUGUAAAGUUAUCAAGUGGCUGCGACUGGCGGCCAGAUAGACGGACACCAGUCAAGGGUUAAAGCCAUAGACAACGUCGAGUGUGUUUGGCCAUGGCUUGUGACAUAAAAUGCUAUCAGAAAGGAUUAUGACAAGCCUGCAAAAACGAGAAAAACAUGGCUAAGAGCGAGGUGAAACACUGUACAGAACUGUAUCACUGGCACAAAGAAAUAGAGACGACGACGACGACGAUGAUGAUGAUGCGAUGGCGACGAUAUAGCCGACAACCAAGUGUCAAAGUCGGACAUUCGACGCCAUAAAAUAUUUACACCAAAAAGGAGCAAAGGAGCCUCGAGUUAUCUCAAGAAUCUCACUUCAGUCGAGCAAAGUUAUCCUCUAUUUCAUAGGAGCGGAAGUGGGCGGAGGAAUAAGUGUCACAAUUGUUGGUUAAGUAAGUUGAGGAUUUUUCACUUGAGGCAAGAGGUGUUUGUAGUUUUAUCUAAGUCGAGGUGACCAGAUUUAAGUGGUUGUCGUUGUGAAAUUUUACGUUUUUAUUUGGAACGAAUAAAUGUAU